AGUCCAAUGGUAACAAGGAAUUACUUUGGUAAUUUGCCUUCGAAGGGCGUGUUGGUAGGUAAAUGCUUAUACAUUUACCCUUUUGCUAAGGGAUAGCCCAGGUAAAAUUCGAAUUAAUGCUUCACGGUAUUAUUGGCAGGUUUCUGUUUUAUAAUUCAAAGUUUCGGCCCAAGAUGAGUCUGCGUCCCAUUAGCCCGUUGGAGAGGAAAAAUUCUCGACAAGGCUACGAUCCGUAGGGGUCCUGAGGGGGAGAUCCCCCACAUUGGCAGUCAGACAUGGACCAGACUCGUACGGGACGUAGCAGUGAGGAAUAUUGGUCAAUGGGCGAGAGCGUUAUCCAGCCAUGCGGCAGGCAUGAAGACUGCCCUAUGGGUGGUAAAGGUCUUUAUCCAUGAAGAAUAAUCCUUACGUGUACGGUCAUGACGGUACUGUAAGAAUAAGGACUGGCUAACUCGGGGUCUGCCUCUGCGGUACCCUGGCCGGUCUUAGCGUUAUCCGGAGUUAUCUGGUCUAAAGGGUCAGUGGGCGGAUGAUUAAGUUAUGGCUGAAACUUUGAAGAUUAACUGAAAACUUGCCAUUAAUACAGGUUGUCUUGGGGCGAAUUUAUGUAGGCGGAACAUGUAGUGAAGGGGUGAAAUGCACGGGUAUUGCACCCACGCCCCAUUGGUAAGGCAACUUACUAAGUAAUUACUGAUGCCGAUGGACUAGAAUGUGGGUAGCCAACCGGAUGCGAUCCCCCUGAAG
rnacentral:rRNA from 1 species